GGUUUGAUUCAGCUCAGAUUGAACGCUGGCGGAGCGUUUUUGCCAUGCAAAUGCUUAACGGCAGCACGGACUUCAUCUGGUGGUUGAGCAAGGAACGGUGAGAAUGUAUCGGAACGUGCCUAGUAGCGGGGAUAACUACGCGAAAGCGUAGCCAAUACCGCAUACUGCCCUCGGGGGAAAGCGGGGACCUUCGGGCCUCGCACUAUUAGAGCGGCCGAUAUCGGAUUAGCUAGUUGGUGUAAGUAACGGCUCACCAAGGCGACGAUCCGUAAUGGUUUGAGGACGACCAGCCACACUGGGACUGAGACACGGCCCAGACUCCUACGGGAGGCAGCAGUGGGGAAUUUUGGACAAUGGGGGAAACCCUGAUCCAGCCAUCCCGCGUGUGCGAUGAAGGCCUUCGGGUUGUAAAAGCACUUUUGGCAGGAAAGAAACGGCACGGAUAAUACCCGUGCAACUGACGGUACCUGCAGAAUAAGCACCGGCUAACUACGUGCCAGCAGCCGCGUAACACAGGUGCAAGCGUUAAUCGGAAUUACUGGGCGUAAAGCGUGCGCAGGCGGUUCGAAAGAAAGAUGUGAAAUCCCAGAGCUUAACUUUGGAACUGCAUUUUUAACUACCGAGCUAGAGUGUCAGGAGGGGAGGUGGAAUUCCGCGUGUAGCAGUGAAAUGCGUAGAUAUGCGGAGAACACCGAUGGCGAAGGCAGCCUCCUGGGAUAACACUGACGCUCAUGCACGAAAGCGUGGGGAGCAAACAGGAUUAGAUACCCUGGUAGUCCACGCCCUAAACGAUGUCAACUAGCUGUUGGGGCCUUCAAGCCUUGGUAGCGCAGCUAACGUGGCGGGUGAAGUUGACCGCCUGGGGAGUACGGGUCUGCAAGAUUAAACUCAAAGGAAUUGACGGGGACCCGCACAAGCGGUGGAUGAUGUGGAUUAAUUCGAUGCAACGCGAAAAAACCUUACCUUACCCUUGACAUGUCUGGAAUCCCGAAGAGAUUUGGGAGUGCUCGCAAGAGAACCGGAACACAGGUGCUGCAUGGCUGUCGUCAGCUCGUGGCCGUGAGAUGUUGGGUUAAGUCCCGCAACGAGCGCAACCCUUGUCAUUAGUUGCGCCACGAAAGGGCACUCUAAUGAGACUGCCGGUGACAAACCGGAGGAAGGUGGGGACGCGACGCCAAGUCCUCAUGGCCCUUAUGGGUAGGGCUUCACACGUCAUACAAUGGUCGGGACAGAGGGUCGCCAACCCGCGAGGGGGAGCCAAUCCCAGAAACCCGAUCGUAAAGUCCGAUCGCAGUCUGCAACUCGACUGCGUGAAGUCGGAAUCGCUAGUAAUCGCGGAUCAGCAUGUCGCGGUGAAUACGUUCCCGGGUCUUGUACACACCGCCCGUCACACCAUGGGAGUGGGUUUUACCAGAAGUAGUUAGCCUAACCGUAAGGAGGGCGAUUACCACGGUAGGAUUCAUGACUGGGGUGAAGUCGUAACAAGGCAA
rnacentral:rRNA from 1 species